rnacentral:misc_RNA from 1 species
CCACUCCAGAGGCGGCGGCCGCACAGAAAAGAAGAUGGACGCUGAAUGAUUUCGAUAUAGGAAAGCCUCUUGGACGAGGAAAGUUUGGUCAUGUCUACUUAGCCCGAGAGAAGAGGAGCAAUCAUAUUGUGGCUCUAAAGGUGCUCUUUAAGAGUCAGUUGCAACAAUCACAAGUUGAACAUCAACUCCGUCGGGAAGUUGAAAUUCAAAGUCAUCUCCGACAUCCCAACAUAUUACGCCUUUAUGGUUAUUUUUAUGAUCAGAAACGAGUUUACUUGAUAUUAGAAUAUGCAGCAAAGGGUGAACUAUACAAAGAAUUGCAGAAGUGUAAAUACUUUAGUGAAAGACGUGCUGCUACAGUGAGUUGUUUUUAUGCUACAGCUCUAAUUUAACUCGACUUUUCUUUUCAUAUGAUUAAUUCUUGAUUUUGUUCCCUAUUUUCAUUUUGUUGUCAAUUAAACAAGUUACUUUUGAAUAUUUUCGAAGUCACAUUUGAUACUAGUGUGUCUCAUUUGCCAUGCUACAUAUAAAACAGAUGGGUACUUAUUUACAUUGUUCCCUUCGGUGACAUGCUCUUCAUUUUCUGCUUAAAACUUACCUUGCUUUGUAUACACUGAUUACAAGCUAUGAUGUUCAUGCAUUUUAUCAAAUGUGGCAGUAUGUUGCCUCGUUAGCUCGGGCACUGAUUUAUUGCCAUGGCAAGCAUGUAAUUCACAGAGACAUCAAG